UACGGGGGGGGCAAGCGUUGUUCGGAAUUACUGGGCGUAAAGGGCUCGUAGGCGGCCAACUAAGUCAUACGUGAAAUCCCUCGGCUUAACCGGGGAACUGCGUCUGAUACUGGAUGGCUUGAGUUCGGGAGAGGGAUGCGGAAUUCCAGGUGUAGCGGUGGAAUGCGUAGAUAUCUGGAGGAACACCGGUGGCGAAGGCGGCAUCCUGGACCGAUACUGACGCUGAGGAGCGAAAGCCAGGGGAGCAAACGGG
rnacentral:rRNA from 1 species